rnacentral:rRNA from 1 species
UACGUAGGGCGCAAGCGUUGUCCGGAAUUAUUGGGCGUAAGGAGCUCGUAGGCGGCCUGUCGCGUCUGCUGUGAAAUCCCGGGGCUUAACCCCGGGCGUGCAGUGGAUACGGGCUGGCUGGAGGCAGGCAGGGGAGAACGGAAUUCCCGGUGUAGCGGUGAAAUGCGCAGAUAUCGGGAGGAACACCGGUGGCGAAGGCGGUUCUCUGGGCCUGUACUGACGCUGAGGAGCGAAAGCGUGGGGAGCGAACAGG